AGUGAACGCUGGCGGUAGGCCUAACACAUGCAAGUCGAACGGCAGCACAGUAAGAGCUUGCUCUUACGGGUGGCGAGUGGCGGACGGGUGAGGAAUACAUCGGAAUCUACUUUUUCGUGGGGGAUAACGUAGGGAAACUUACGCUAAUACCGCAUACGACCUACGGGUGAAAGCAGGGGAUCUUCUGACCUUGCGCGAUUGAAUGAGCCGAUGUCGGAUUAGCUAGUUGGCGGGGUAAAGGCCCACCAAGGCGACGAUCCGUAGCUGGUCUGAGAGGAUGAUCAGCCACACUGGAACUGAGACACGGUCCAGACUCCUACGGGAGGCAGCAGUGGGGAAUAUUGGACAAUGGGCGCAAGCCUGAUCCAGCCAUACCGAGUGGGUGAAGAAGGCCUUCGGGUUGUAAAGCCCUUUUGUUGGGAAAGAAAAGCAGCAGGUUAAUACCACGCUGUUCUGACGGUACCCAAAGAAUAAGCACCGGCUAACUUCGUG
rnacentral:rRNA from 1 species